AGUGAACGCUGGCGGCGUGCUGAACACAUGCAAGUCGAACGAGAACGGGCUAUAGCUUGCUAUAGUUGUCAGCUAAGUGGCGCACGGGUGAGUAAUGUAUAGGUAAUAUGCCUCUUACUAAGGGAUAACAAAUGGAAACGUUUGCUAAUACCUUAUACUCCUUAUUAACAGAAGUUAAUAAGGGAAAGAUUUAUUGGUAAGAGAUUAGCCUGUAUUGUAUCAGUUAGUUGGUGGGGUAAUGGCUUACCAAGACUAUGACACAUAACUGGUUUGAGAGGAUGAUCAGUCACACUGGAACUGAGACACGGUCCAGACUCCUACGGGAGGCAGCAGUGGGGAAUAUUGCACAAUGGACGAAAGUCUGAUGCAGCAACGCCGCGUGGAGGAUGACACAUUUCGGUGCGUAAACUCCUUUUAUAUGAGAAGAUAAUGACGGUAUUAUAUGAAUAAGCACCGGCUAACUCCGUGCCAGCAGCCGCUGUAA
rnacentral:rRNA from 1 species